rnacentral:rRNA from 1 species
CGGAGGGUGCAAGCGUUAAUCGGAAUUACUGGGCGUAAAGCGCGCGUAGGCGGCUGAGUAAGUCGAUUGUGAAAUCCCCGGGCUCAACCUGGGAAUUGCAGUCGAGACUGCUUGGCUAGAGUGUGGGGAGAGGGUGGUGGAAUUCCCGGUGUAGCGGUGAAAUGCGUAGAUAUCGGGAGGAACAUCAGUGGCGAAGGCGACCACCUGGCCCAACACUGACGCUGAGGUGCGAAAGCGUGGGUAGCAAACAGGAUUAGAUACCCUGGUAGUCCACGCCGUAAACGAUGUCGACUAGCCGUUGGAGUACCUUAGAGUCUUUAGUGGCGCAGUCUAACGCACUAAGUCGACCGCCUGGGGAGUACGGCCGCAAGGUUA